CCCCGCCGCCGACAAGGGUAACCGAGCUCGGCGCCGGCGCGGGCCCUCGUCCUCCUUUCCCCCCUCCUCCUCGGCGCUCCCGCACAGCGUGGUGCUCGCGCGGCCUCCUCUCCCCACCGGCUUUCUCCUCCUUCCCGCGGCUGCCCCAUCCCCAUGCCGCCACCUCACCGCGCGACACGGUGGCGGACAGCGACGGCGCCACCGGGCUGCGGUGUGGCGCCAAACGCGUGCCCCGGCGGGACAAGCGCCCCUCCACAAUGCAACCACGGUCGGCCCUAGUGUCCUCCGCCGCCUCCACCACCCCGACCCAUCCAACCCACUCGUGGCAUUCACAUCGAUGACUCCGCCUCCCUCCGCUACGCCGCCGUCCGACGAAGCUCCUCCACCCAGUGCUCCUCCUCCCUCGCCUCCUCCCUGCAGGACGCCACCAUCGCCGAGCCCACAUCACGGCCGCGCCACUGCACCUCGCAGGACGAAUCUCCUUCUACCGCCUCAACAUCAAGAACGAGUCCAGGUUCCAGGGACUCAUCAAGAUGGCCGAUGUGAUCUCAAGAGGAUAAGCCUGGCGGCCAUCUGCACACCCGUUGGCUACAACACGCGGCCCCUCGACACGGCGACACCAUCUACAACAACUUCAUCGACGCCCUCCCAGUGUGAAGCAAACUAGGUUCUUAUUAGUGGAUCAAGUCAAUCAAGUUGAGAGUUCCUUCUGGUGAUGACUACAUCGAGAGAAAAAGUGUCACUGGCAACUGGCAUAGACACAAGCAGCAGUGCCUGGAUAGCUAUUGUAGAGUUCAAGAUUCAUUACCUGGAGGCCCAAAAGGUAACUUCAGAUCUACCUGUUUAAAUUAUCGCAGCAUAUUAUAUUAUACAGUAGCUCUGUUUCUUUUCACAAAUGUUUGAGAUGACUAUUCAAUGCAGUCUGCAAAUAUUAAAUUUUGAGUUCCAGCAGAGUUACUAACUGCUAAUUGUUUCUGAUAAUCUCAGUGAAAGACGCACUUGAUGAGGUAAGCAACUUUUCAUGCUUUCUUAUUGUACUCACGAGGGAUGCCACUGUCUAGUACUAUCGCUUUACCAUUGCACAACCUAAUAUGGAUCGCUUUACUCAGGAAGGGUUGUUGCCAAAUUUUGUGCGAAAUAUCUUCACAGCCAAGUUCUAAUUAUGUGAUUGUGCUACAUCAGAAUGGAUGAAAUGAUGCGAGGACAGAGAGAUAGGGGAUAUCCUUCUCACAGGCUACAUGUCCGGGCUUUGCAGCAAGGGUGCCUUUGGUGCUGAUUGUUGGUCGCAGUGCUGAAGCAGGUAGCAGCAGAGAGCUCAGCUACAAUAGCAGGAGGCUAUGUGUUUUCUGUUACAUCCUUUGUUACAUCCUUUGAUCAGGAUUAUAACUUCCUACCGACAUGAAAACACCAUAUGUAUUUAGAUUCCUAUUAGAAGACUAAAUAAUACCUCUGCGGAUUACACAUUCCAUUCUA